UACAAUUGGUACCAGGGGUUGUAUUACAUCUAGUUUCUGAGCUCCAGAAAUGUAGCCAGAUGGGACCAGGGAAAUGUAACGUGUGAUUAGGAGAGGCCAAGAAAUACAGUCCUUAAACUAAAGGGAUGGAUAUGGGGUCUGCUCAGGUCACUGUGGUCCACAGUUAGGUCUAGCCGAUGCCUUCAGACAAGCCCCGGGUGCUGAGUAUAUGAAGGGGAUGCCGCAGAUGCUGGCCAACGCUGUAUCCCUAAGACAUCCACACUGGGCUUCCCCCCCGGGCUUCUGCUAAGCAGAGGAAGCUUUCCGUUCAAGCGUUCAUGUGCUAUUGGCCCACUUCCGAGUGCUGUCUCUGGUCACAUUACAAAAGCAGGCUGCCAAACUUGAUCUCUGCUUUCUGCUCUUCUCCAGAUAAAUGAUCUCAUCCCGCGGCCUCGGGAGUGCUAAGAACGGUUGAGGAGAGUGGGAAAGAUUUGUACAAUCUUUACCACGGGACCUAAAGGCCAGAAGGAACUCCUUGACCCUGCUUUCACAGGUAGAGACACAAGUGAUGGGGGAUCCCGGGUAGAAGGGGAGACGGCACCCUGAGUGCUCUCCUGGCAAUAGGCCCAGGCGCCAACCCUCGCUGGUCUUGCAGUUUCAGGACAUGCCAUAUGUUAACUCCAGAAAGCUGUCAUACCUCAUAAAAUUGUCUCUAUUACACACUCCUGAGGCCAGCUGUAAUAUUUUACUAUGCCCACCUCUCACCCUUCACUUAGGUAACUCUCCGCUGUUAUUAACAACAGGAGGCCAACAGUUAGAGCCCACAGUCGUAGGGUACAACAAGAAGCAAAGACUGGGAGCCCAGAGAGUCGUUGUUUAGCUGGGACACCAUAUGAACAUCCCCAAAACGGUUUUCAUAGAGUCUGCAGGUCACGGGUGGCAGUGAUGACUCUGGGGGACAAGAUCUUGCCCUAGGAUGGGACGGACAAAGCCUAGAACCGCAGGUGUCCAGUGGAGAGUUUGACAAAGAGUGAACAAGAGCUCAGGAAGCUGAAAAGGGCCACAAAGAAGCCACAUCUCCAGAAUUCCCCGAGUUGGUACAGAGAGAGAGAGUACGAAUCAGGUUGAGACUGGCCAGGUGGGCUUGGAAAUUACCGUACCCAUAUUAUCUUCAAAAUCACUGGACUAGCUGACUCACAGAGAGAAGGAAACCUUGGAGAGAACCUUGGAGAAGCAUGAGCUUCAUUCAUGGGCAGAGGAAAAGAAUCCAAAAUGUUUGUGAAUUUAUGCAAGUGAAGAAUUCUGACUCCUGAAAUAACUGAGUAAGGUAGAAGAUGGCAGGGAAAGCCCUGCAGAUGAGAGGGACGAGAAGGGCGGUACUAGGUGAUGCUGAGGGACCAGGAAUGCCGGGAAUCUAGGAGCAGGCAGGUGACUGGGAAUGGUGAGAACCGGCUCAGGCAGCAGGAAUGUGUUCUAGAGUCCUUUGGUGAGGAGCAAAGAGGAUUCAGCUGUUUGCUCAGCAAACAUUGCCAGAAUAGCUGUACAUCCUGGCACUACUCUAAGGACCUCGGGGACAGAGAGAGCAAAAGCUGCACGGGAGAGCUCCUCAGACUGAGGAAACAGGCCGGGCUGUCCCUGGGCUGCUGGGAGACGUCCAGGAUGCCAGGAUGAAGGUCAAAAGGGAAAGGCUGCCGAGGGAAACGGCCAGACUACUCCAGUCCUAUGCCCUGAUUACAGGAUUGCACUGCAGUGUUUGCUGUUUCCUAUGCAAUGGGUCCAGCAGGAUACAAGCUGCCUGUGACAAGCCAAGGACACGUUACAGUAAACCCUUCCUGGGUUAUACCAAUCACUAUAUAUAACCCUAGGUUAUUCCUAACCCUUCUUUAUCGCGAGUCCAUUGAGUUCCACGAAAACAUUUCACCAAGAUAAUAAACUACAGCACAUUGCAAGAAUUCAGUACUGGUAUGUAUGUAUGACUGCCAAAAAUAGGGCUCCUACCAAGGUACUAAGAGAGCCAACAAUCCUAAGCUUUUUCUGCACACUGCCGCCCCAGAGGCCUCUGGAGUAUCUUCCACCGCUCUCCUAAGAACCCUCAGCCUCAAGCAGAAACCCAACGACUAACGUCAGCUGCCAGGAACCUCUGAGUCCUCACAUGAUGGUCCAUGUGCCUUCUGACUGGUGCGCGUCCACACCAUACUCAUCUUUAAAGACCGCCAGAGGCCAUUCCUAGCUAUAUUUUAUUGUGAGGCCAUGGCAGUUCAGAGAAGGAACUUCAACAUGAUGCAGCCAUACUAAGAGGGGGAUUUAAACCAGAUCUGUGACGGCAAAGCCUGUGCAUAAAGAAUAUUUCUAAUGUGUGAACCAAACCGAAAUACUGAGAGUGGAAAGGGAGCCAGCAGCUAACAGAGGCAAAGAGAAGCUUGUUGGAGAGCUGAGGAAGGAGCAGUUACACUGCUUCUAUGGGACCACAGGGAAGAGCUUGAGAAAACCUACAAACACCUAAGACCCAUGAAGCCCUGGGACAGGAGCGGCCCGGGAUUGGCUCAGCUGUCUGGAGCUGAGUUCUGGAUUGAGCCUUAAUCCAGAACCGCAGGGAGGGGACACCACUCGCCCCUCCCUGUUCCACGUGGGGGCGCCAGCGCUAGGGUGUCCCUGCACCGGAAUGCGCUCAUGGAGUUAUGCGUGGGCUGAAACCGGUUUCCAGGGCUCUCUGUCUGAAAGGUUUCCCGGUCAGGAGAGACCCCUGGAUCGGUGCUGAUUUGCCGGUACUGCGGCCGGGACCCAGCAACUGCAGCGGACCCAGACCUUCGGAGGUGGCUUCUGUCGGUUGCACCUGCCCCAGACCGGUGUAA